rnacentral:rRNA from 1 species
AUGGCGGGCGCCGUGGAGCAGAAUCGUCUUCUUCUAGUCGUGGAGAUCCGCGGCCUUGAGCACCAGUAUAAUUUCGUGGAGGUCGACGUCAAAGGCCUGUUCUACCCUGAUUCCGGCUCAGUCCCCAACAAAUCAUCGGCGAGGGCCAGGGCUACUGCAGCGGCGAGGGCUUGCGGGUCGCUGCGCAGCCUGCCGGCCCCCGUGGCGCGGUACAGGACGUCCGUCGACAUGCCAGAGCGCAUCGAUUUCGCGCUCGUCGGCACCACCAUAGCGGGCGCCUCCAGCAACGGCAACACCUUCAUGAUGUCGCGGUCCGGCGCGCUGUCGGCGGGGCCGGAGCUGCAGAGCUUGCGCGGUCGCACCCAUCUGAUCCCGCUGGGGCACCGCCUGUACGCGCUCAACCGAUUCAUGCACGACCUGGCGGAGCCGGCCUGCCUCGAGACGUUACCCCUCCCUGGCCCUGGGAGGCGCCGCCGGCAGGAGCCCUGGCGUGCCCUCCCCGACCCCCCGCCCGGCUACCGCUCCCUGGACUUGGGCUGUCCGCGGGUCACGGCCUACCUCGCCGCCGGAACGCGGCUGUGGGUCUCGGCACAGGGGAUGGGCACCUGCACUUUCGACACCGCACGGUGCGCGUGGCGCAAGGAGGGCGACUGGGAGCUGCCCUUCCAGGGUCGCGGCCUCGUCGUCCCCGAGCUCGGCGGCCUCUGCUUCGGCCUGUGUCCCAAGGAGAACUGCCUGUGUGCCUGCGACAUGCAGCAGUCCCCUCCGGCGGUCCGGUACGUGUGGGAGGAGACGCGGCCACGGUGCCCUCCGUCCGGCACCCCUUUCGGCUUCUACCCAGAAGAAGCAACCGUGAUCUAUCUUGGGAAUGGAAAGUUUUGCAUCUCAUGGAUCAUCGGAUUCGGCCGCCGGGCGCCCCUGCGCCGCGCCAUCUUGUUGACGGCCCUGCAGGUCCUCGCCUCUGCUGCCGGUAAUAAGCUCCGGGUUGUCAACCACAAGGUUCGCUUCUAUGAGAUGCCAAGCCAGGACGAUGUCGCACAUGCUCUUCAGCCCGACUUUUAA